UCAACUUGCUCUCUCUCCUCCCUCCUUCCUAAACAGCUGUUCAACUUUUUCACGCUCCCUCCCAAUUUUUUCACGCUCCCUCUCUUCUUUCUCUGCCCUCUCAGUUUCUCUUCUUUCAAACUCCUUUUCUGUAUUUCUCUCUCAGUUUCUUUGCAUCGAUCUCCCUCCUCCUCCUCCUCAUCUCUUUCUCUCUUCCCUUUCCCUAACAAUUCAAAAAUCGAGGCCCAAAAGCCCUAUUUACUACUCUCAUCUGAUAUCUCUUUCAUUUUCCUCUUCGUUGUGUCCCUCUCUUUUCGUGGUGGUGGAGGAAAAGGUAGUAAUCUCGCAAAGUCAUACUGGUGCUCAAAGAUUGGAUUUUUACUGCUACCCAUCUGGCCUUUUUUAAAAUUGUAAUUGGCUUUGAGAUUGGACAAAGGUUGGCUUUCGUGAUUCUGUAGAGGUUGUUUUUCCCCUCCAAUUUGCAUUUGCAUUGCAAAAUUAUUAUGCUGAGAACAAAUGUUUGAGUUUAUUGUUUUUAAGAAUGAAGUUCGUUAAUUAUGUUUAUUUUGAGUUCAGUUCUUCUCUUGAAUUUAAAUUCUUUAUUGCCUUGUUUCAACUUUUUGAUGUAUAAAAAAAAAUUGGAAAUUUUUAUUUUUAUCCAAAUUCUAUUACUUGGAGGAGGUAUACAAUGUACAUACAUGCUACUUGGUCUUCCAAUGUAAUCUUGACAUUUGUCUCAAUUUUCCUCUGUUAUUUCUACAUCAUAAUAAACCCAUAUUCUUUGUUUACUCAUGAGUUCAGAGAAAAUUCUCAAUUUGGUUUACUUUCUUAUUUUUGGCAUCAGGUUUUACAAGAAUUGGCUUCUUCAUACUUUUCCUACCUUAAUUUGAUUUUACUUUUAUCACUGAAGUAGUGCAGGGAAAAGUUUGGAGAAGUUGAUGGAGGAGUGUUGAGAGAGAGCAGAUACUUGUGAAUUAAUUGCAGGAAAGCAUUCAAAGUCUUGAAAGGCAGUCCUCACCAGUGGAAGAAUUGUCCCAGAUUUUGAAAAGAGCAAAUAAUUUCUUGCAUUUUGUGUUGCAGAAUGCACGACCUCACUGAUCACUUUUUAAUUUUUGUUCAUAAUUUUCUGUUUUAGGAUCAAGAAUUGCUGUAUCUGUUUAUCUAUAAUCACUUCCCAAGUUUGCAAGAGGAGGUAAUUAAUUGCCACUGAAGUUCUUAUUCAAGGUUUGGUAGGAUUGCUGCAUAACUUCAAUGUAAUUUAAAAGGAGGUAAUUACUGCCUUGCUUAAGUGACACUCUGACACUAAACCACCUUAAUUAUAUCAUGUUCUUUCUUCUUGCCAGCACAUUAUAGGAAGAACAGAUGUUGAGAUUUUUACCGGGGCCGGCGUUAAGGAAUCUCAAGACUUCAAGGAGGUUCUGGAAAAACAGGUUACCUGCAAAAAGGGCGAUUACAUUUGAGACACCAUUAUUUGGGUCAAAAACAUUUUUGAUAUAUGUGGAGCCCGUCUUCAACAAGGCAUGAGAGACAUUUGGUAUAAAUUACAUGGGGAUGGAUGUCACUGAUCAGGCGAGGAAAAGAAAAAAGAUGGCAAAGCUUAGUGAGGAAAUCGCAGUCCAAAAACCAAAGGAACUUAUAGUAAUUUUACGUAUAUUUUUAUAAUUUUUAAAAAUUAUAAAUUUUAUAAGUAAUGCAAUAAAAUAAUAGUUAAAUGACACAAGUUAGAAACUCAAUGCUGUAGUAUCACUUGUUUGCCACCAAAAUAUGUUUCAUAAAAGCUUUAAAAGGAUUCACUAGAGCUUCAACAUCGCUUCAUUUACUAUUCAAUAAAGCUUCAAAAUAUUAAUUUUA